rnacentral:tRNA from 1 species
AAAAUAAAGCUAAAAAUUAGUAUUUCACUUACGUUGAAAAGGUUGUCGCAGGGGGCGAUUUAUUUUGAG